rnacentral:rRNA from 1 species
UGGGGAAUUUUCCGCAAUGGGCGAAAGCCUGACGGAGCAAUACCGCGUGAGGGAUGACUGCCUAUGGGUUGUAAACCUCUUUUUUCAGGGAGGAAGAAAUGACGUGUACCUGAAGAAUAAGCAUCGGCUAACU